rnacentral:rRNA from 1 species
CCUACGGGAGGCAGCAGUGGGGAAUAUUGCACAAUGGGGGAAACCCUGAUGCAGCGACGCCGCGUGAGUGAAGAAGUAAUUCGUUAUGUAAAGCUCUAUCAGCAGGGAAGAAAAUGACGGUACCUGAGUAAGAAGCCCCGGCUAACUCCGUGCCAGCAGCCGCGGUAAUACGGGGGAUGCAAGCGUUAUCCGGAUUCAUUGGGUUUAAAGGGUGCGCAGGCGGGCCUUUAAGCCUGCGGUUAAAUCGCGGGGCUCAACCCCGCCGAGCCGGCGGAACUGGGGGCCUUGAGUGCGGCGGAGGCAUGCGGAAUGCGCGGUGUAGCGGUGAAAUGCAUAGAUAUCGCGCAGAACCCCGAUUGCGAAGGCAGCGUGCCGUGCCGCCACUGACGCUGAGGCACGAAAGCGCGGGGAUCGAACAGGAUUAGAUACCCGGGUAGUC